CGGGGCGUAGCGCAGUCUGGUAGCGCGCUUCGUUCGGGUCGAAGAGGUCGUGGGUUCGAAUCCCGCCGCCCCGA
rnacentral:tRNA from 1 species